rnacentral:rRNA from 1 species
UGGGGAAUAUUGGACAAUGGGCGAAAGCCUGAUCCAGCCAUGCCGCGUGUGUGAAGAAGGUCUUCGGAUUGUAAAGCACUUUAAGUUGGGAGGAAGGGCAGUAAGCGAAUACCUUGCUGUUUUGACGUUACCGACAGAAUAAGCACCGGCUAACUCUGUGCCAGCAGCCGCGGUAAUACAGAGGGUGCAAGCGUUAAUCGGAAUUACUGGGCGUAAAGCGCGCGUAGGUGGUUCGUUAAGUUGAAUGUGAAAGCCCCGGGCUCAACCUUGGAACUGCAUCCAAAACUGGCGAGCUAGAGUAGGGCAGAGGGUGGUGGAAUGUCCUGUGUAGCGGUGAAAUGCGUAGAUAUAGGAAGGAGCACCAGUGGCGAAGGCGACCACCUGGGCUCAUACUGACACUGAGGUGCGAAAGCGUGGGGAGCAAACAGG